CAAAGUAUAGCUANNUGAGUUUAGUAUUUCACUUACAUUGAAAAGAGUUAUCGUGCAAUUCGAUNCACUUUGAG
rnacentral:tRNA from 1 species